UAGAAGGGGUGGCACACAGACACAAGGAGAUGGGGGGUGUGAGCAAGAGGUUUGAGCCAGUAUCGAGACACUGCGAAAUUCGCGGAGUCCCGCUUACCAAAAUCGCCGAGACGCCGAGAAGAAAACGGCG
ensembl:ncRNA C53C11.7 ncRNA